AUACGGAGGGUGCAAGCGUUAUUCGGAAUCACUGGGCGUAAAGGGUGCGUAGGCGGUUUGAUAAGUCUGAUGUGAAAUCCUAUGGCUCAACCAUAGAACUGCAUUGGAAACUGUCAGACUAGAAUACUGAAGGGGCAGAUGGAAUUAGUGGUGUAGGGGUAAAAUCCGUAGAUAUCACUAGGAAUACCGAAAGCGAAAGCGAUCUGCUGGGAAGUUAUUGACGCUGAGGCACGAAAGCGUGGGGAGUAAACGGAAUUAGAAACCCUUGUAGUCC
rnacentral:rRNA from 1 species